AUCCAGAACAUCAGCCUACAACUGAGGAGGCAGUGUAAGAAGAUAAGCAGCCUUGGUAAGUAGGACCCGAAACACCUGCCAGAAUUGAUGAAUAUUUACCAUCGCAAUAUCUCAGAAAUUAGUGUGAAAGAUAGGAUGAAGAUACGAUUACGGGAACGAUGGUGGAAAGAUUCGGUUAUGGUGUCCCACUGCUGUCAGGACAACUAAAAGAAUUGAUAGGGAGCUUUGCUAAAUCCCAGAAAGUGUAUUUCCAUUUGCAGCAACAUAAUGAGGAUAAUAUAAUUAUGUAUACAUCCUUUAGAAUAAU